GAAAAAUUUAGUUAAGUUAUAACAUUAGUUUGUCAUACUAAAA
rnacentral:tRNA from 2 species